rnacentral:rRNA from 1 species
AGAGUUUGAUCCUGGCUCAGAAUAAAUGCUAUUUUUCUGCUUAAUACAUGCAAGUUUAUUUUUUUGUUUUAAAAAAAAUAAGCAAACGGGUGAGUAAAAAAAAAGAAUUUGUUUUUACCUAGCAACCCACAUAAAAAUUGAUUGUUGUUAGAUAAACUUUUUUAAGAUUAGGUUUUUAGAAAAAAGUUCUAAGCUGAAAAUCUUUAAUUGGUCUGAAAAGACGUUCAAUCACAUUAGAACUGAGACAAUGUCUAGACUUUUUUCAAAUGGCUGCAGUAAGGAAUUUUAAACAAUGAACGAAAGUUUGAUUUAGCAAGAAAAAGUAAAUGAUUGAAAACAAUUUUUUGUUGUAAAGUUUUUUUAUAGAAAUAAAUUAUGAUUUUAUCUAAGAAAAAGUCCUGGCUAAUUUUGUGCCAGCAGCCGCGGUUAUACGAAAAGGGCGAGCAUUAUUUGGUUUUAUUUGGUGUAAAAAAUGUGUAGGUGGUUUUAAAAAAUUUAGAUUAAAGUUUAACUUUUGUUAUAACGUUUAAAUUUUAAGAACUAGAGUAAAAAAAAAGAUUAGAGAAUUUUGACUGGAAGAAUAAAAUCUGUUGAUAGUUGAAGGAAUUUCAAAGCGAAAGCACUAAUCUGUCGAAAACUGACGCUCUUACAUGUAGUUUUAGGUAGCAACCGGGAUUAGAUACCCCGUUAGUCUAAAAAGUAAACAAUCAAUAUUCAUUUUUAAGUAAUUAGAAAUUUAGUUAACACGUUAAAUAUUGUACCUGGGAAGUACGUUAGCAAUAAUGAAACUCAAGAAAUUGUCGGGAAUUUAUAUAAUUGGUGGAACAUAUUGCUUAAUUCGUAGGUACACGCAAAACCUUACCAUUUUUUGAAUUUUAAACAGGAGUUGCAUGGCUGUCGUCAGCUCGUGUUUUGAAAUGUUCGGUUAAGUCCAUAAACGAGCGAAACUCUUUUUUUUUAUUUUUACUAAAAAAUUUAUAUGAUAAAUGAUUAUAAAAGUUUUUUAGACUUUUUAAAAAAUUUUGCCUGUAAAAAACAGGAUAAAAGUUAGAACGACGUCAAGUUUCAUGACCCAGAUAAGAUGGGCUGUUUAUGUGUUACAAUGAUAAAACCAAAAAGUUUUUUUAAUGAAAAUUGAAAUUAAUCUCAAAAUUUUAUCCUAGUUCGAAUUUUUUUCUGCAACUCGAAAAUAUGAAGUUGAAAUCAAAAGUAAUCGUUUAUCAGCAAGAAACGGUGAAAGCAUCUCUGAAUUUUGUUCAAAUCGCCCGUCACAGCUUGAAAGUUUUUUAGUUUGAAAUAAAUAAAUUUUAUUUUUUAUUUUUUAUGGGAGUUUUUAAGAAAUCGUUUUCUAUUAAAAAAAAAAUUUAUUAUAAAAACAACAAAAAUUAUUGAGCUGAAGUCGUAACAAGGUAACC